rnacentral:miRNA from 1 species
UCGGACACUUUCUUGUGUGUGC